GGCUAUUUGAAAAUCAGAGCAUCUUUUAAAAGGGAGACGGCAUCUGAACCUUGCCGAGUAGGAAUGUUCCAGAAGUAAGAGAGAUGACUAGGGUUUCAAGAACAAGGACCAGCACCUAUGAAGGCUCUGAGGCACAGACCACUGUGACCUGUGGAGAAGUGACAGCAAAGUGAAAGGCACGUUUUGAUUACUACCGACAUUCACAGUCUGGACACGGGUGACAAAUCUAAAGGGCCAUAGGAGUUGAAUCACUGCUAUGACUUCUGAAUGGAUCUGCUUCUGGAGAUGAGCUCUCCGCCUGUUCCCAGGAGGUCUGAGAGAUACCCUGGACAUUAUCCGUGAGAGCCACCUGCCAAGGCAGGAGAUAUUGCCCAUUCGUCCAACUGCCGCUGUCCUGCCAGUAUAUCGUCUGAGAUUACCAUCAGCUAAAUAUUGCAUUGUCUUUGGACAAUUUUCCUACAUUGUGACUCCUCACUACAUUUUCAAUGCUUUUCUAGUCCCAGACAAGCUACAGACUGUUAAUUUACACUUGCUUUUGCCUUGCCUGAGGAAAUUGAAAAUAAAUUUUAAUUUCCUAGUCAAGGGCUACGGGUGCUUUGUGUGGUUUGGAGGAAAAAAAAAUACUGUUAGAUGGAAUUAGGGAAUAUUAGGAGAGUUUCUGAAGUUAGUGAAGGUACACAGUAAUUGAUCACUUGCCCUCAUAGUGAGAGGUCAUUCCAAUGAGCAGAGGUUCUGUCAAUAUCUGAGAUCUGUUUGAUACCUGGCCUCAAUCUGUCGAUCACGCCCAGUAACCAUAUUCAUAGGCUUCAGAUCUGAAUUUUGAAUUGCAUCAGAAGCUUUCCUCUGGCCUCAGAGAUGCCAUUGAGACCAUUCUCAUAGUUAGUCACCACUCACACUACACAAAAUGGAAGAAAAAAACUUCCUUUGGGGCAAAUCAACAAUCUCUGGUAGGAAAAUAAACAAGGAUGCUUUCAGAAUACCAGAAGCCCAAGUCUGAGCAUCUGGAGGCAAAGGAAGAGUAGAGAAGUCUUUGUUGGUGGGACCACUGCCUGUAGGAAUUUAAGGGAACUUGGAUCUUAGGAGUUGCUCAGUUAAGUCCUAGAGAGAGCCUAAGUGGGACUGAUGAGAAGCAGAACAAAUUGCUAUUUCUGAGAAGAAAAACCAACACUUUUGGAUGUUAACUUUUGGAUGUUUGAAUUUUUUGUUUUAGUUUUUAUUCCUUUUGGGAAAAGCUAUUUUUAUCGCAAAAAAAUAUGUAAAGCUAGCAACAAAAUAGUUGAAAGUAUUUAUUGUGUACCUACUGUGUGAUAAUAGCAGCUGGGUUUCAAACACAAGUGAAUAUGAAAUAAAUGAGCCCUAGAUGCACAAAAAUAC
rnacentral:lncRNA from 1 species